rnacentral:lncRNA from 10 species
AUAAAAGAAAAGAAGAGGAAAAGAUAACUCUGUUAUACCAAUUACUAGGUAUGUGAAAGAGAAAACAACCAACAGUGUAUAAGGGCGACAGAAUCAAGGCUGGGAUAUGGAAGGAGGGGAGGAAGAGAGGAAGAGAGAACAGAAAAUAUUUUUCCAAGUUGUGGUUCUUGAUCCAAGAUCUGAAAAUAUAAGGUUUAACUUGCCAAAGUAGGGCAAUGGCUUGCCAAUGGGACAACGGCUGCUUUGUAAAACCAUUUGCUCUGAGUUCAGAUAAGUAAAAACUAUUUCUCCUAUUUUCCUUGACUCUCUCAUGCAUGAUCUCGGGUUCUCUGUAUUUUCCAGUUUUGGAUGUCACCACCUAUAUCAGUUAGAGUCCACCUGCUAUAGUAAACAACCGACACAAUUACAGUGAUUUAAAUAAGUAAACUCUAUUUCUGUAUGUAAUAAUAGUCCUGUUAGUUCCAGUUAUCAGGCAGCUUUGACCCAGGAAGACAUUCACAAAAUCAGACAAUUUUCCUUCUGGGUUCCUACUAUUCAAUAGUUUGUGCCCUUGUGUAUUCAGUCAAAAAUAAACUGCUUCCACAUCUUCAUUCCAACCCAUGGGAGGGGGAAAAAGACUCACCCAUACAAAAAAGCUUAACUUGAAUCAUCCAGAAGUAGCAUCCAAUAUCUCCACUCACACACAUUGUUCCAAACAUGAGGUACAUAUGCACACCUAGCCAGAGGAAAGCCAGGGACAUACAGGUUUUAGCUGGAUGGUCAAAUGUUUAGAUAAAGAUAUAUUUAUAGGGAAUAAAGGAAAUGAAUUUAGGGAGAAAAGCACUACCUGUCUGAUUUCUGAUUUCUUCAAGUUACCUUCUGUUCAAGUUGGCUUUGGCUAUGCAGUCAGUGGUUUGCUUUCAUUAUGCAUUUCCUGACCUUAGUCCUAUCCCUGGUUCCAUUUUUAUCAUCCCAUUACUAUCUUUCAUCCUCUCAUGUAUGCCUUUUUCUUUAUUUUCUGAUUCCACUCCCACCUCUCAACCCAAAAUUUUGCUGUAACCUCUUUCAGCAGUAUAUUUUGGUACCUGGUACAGUCAACGUGCUGAGUGUUAGGGUUCCAUUAAAGGAAAAAUAUACAUUUUACAUAAUUUCAUAAAGAAAGAUUUCUUACAGUUAAGUAAAUUAAACAGGAUAUCAUGUACAUAAUGCAUUUGAUUUAGAAGUUGAGUUUUAUGAUGUUUAGAAACUGUAACAAUAAGGAUAAAAGAUAAUUCUAGAAAAAUUCAUACAUUCAAAAAAUACUAUUGUAAUAAAAGUAUAAAAUUUCUAUAAUAAAGAGAAAGUAAUGCA